rfam:Sphingomonadales bacterium GWF1_63_6 gwf1_scaffold_2397, whole genome shotgun sequence.
CCAGAGGGCUGGGCGGCCGCGGCGUGGCGGGUAACUUCCACGGCGAGGAAAGUCCGGGCUCCACGAAAUGACGGUGCCGGUUAACGACCGGCUGGAGUGAUCCAAGGGACAGUGCAACAGAAAGCAGGUCGCAACGGCUUAGGCCAUGCGAAAUUGAAAGGGUGCGGUAAGAGCGCACCGCGUCUGCGGCAACGCAAGGCGGCACGGUAAACCCCACCGGGAGCAAGACCGAAUAGGGACGGCGCGCAGUUUCGGCUGCUAGGUCUGUUUCGACCGAGAUCGUCCGGGUUGGUUGCUGGAGGGGCGGAGUAAUCCGUCCCCUAGAGGAAUGGUCGCACAUCUCCGAAAGGAGAGGACAAAACCCGGCUUAUAGGCCCUCUGGCACA